CCCUUAGAUGUUCUGGGCUGCACGCGCGCUACACUGAUGCAUCCAACAAGUUUUUUCCUUGUUCGAGAGGACUAGGUAAUCUUAUGAGAAUGCAUCGUGAUGGGGAUAGAUUAUUGCAAUUAUUAAUCUUCAACGAGGAAUUCCUAGUAAGCGCGAGUCAUCAGCUCGUGCUGAUUACGUCCCUGCCCUUUGUACACACCGCCCGUCGCUACUACUGAUUGGAUGUUUAAGCGAGGUUCUCGAACUGCUAGCGACUUAGCUUCGGUGAGGUCGCAGUGUGGGAAGUGAACCUAGCUUUGGUGUCUAGAGGAAGUAAAAGUCGUAACA
rnacentral:rRNA from 1 species